GAUGAACGCUGGCGGCGUGCUUAACACAUGCAAGUCGAACGGAAAGGCCCUGCUUGCAGGGUACUCGAGUGGCCAACGGGCGAGUAACUCGCGGGUGAUUAGCCCUCCACUUCGGGUUAAGCCUCGUAAACAGGGCCUAAUACCGGCUAGAAGCUAUAUUUAGCGUGAUGGUUGGAUAGUUUUUUCGGUGUUUGCUGAGCUUGCUGCCUAUCAGCUUGCUGGUGGGGUAAUGGCCUACCAAGGCGGCGACGGGUAGCCGGCCUGAGAGGGUGGACGGCGACCUUGGGACUGAGGGACGGCACAGACUCCUACGGGAGGCAGCAGUGGGGAAUAUUGCACAAUGGGCGCAGGCCUGAUGCAGCGACGCCGCGGGGGGGAUGACGGCCUUCGGGUUGAAGACUCCUUUCGCUAGGGACGAAGCUUUUUGUGACGGUACCUAGAUAAGAAGCACCGGCUAACUACGUG
rnacentral:rRNA from 1 species